AGCAGAGUGUGGUGUGUCUCUAACACACACAGAGCUUUGAGUCAGAGAACGGACACUGAUCCGUGCUGCCGAGUUCACGUCCACAUCAGCUCACACACAUCAUUCAUCUGAACGUCGACUCAAAUGUACAUCAUUGAUUGGCUCUUCUUCUCUGUUUCUAGAUGGCGUCGUGAGGCUGCAGCGACGUGAUUCACGACUACAGAAAUCAGCAGAAAGAGGCCGAUGUGAGGUGUCGUCGGUCAGCUGCUGUCGCCCGGAUGGAGGUAUAUGUAGUAAAGUGGCUUUACACCAGAUUUGAAACUUAACGCAGCAGCAGCAAACAGCUAUUUUCUAUGUAAAGCACUUGUAUUUAUUUUUGGAUAUGUUCCCGUCUCUGUAAAAAGACAAACACUGAUCCAAAUGUUACAUCAUGACCUCCUAGGUUGCAAUCAUUGAGUUAUGAUUUAGAUAUAUUGUUGUGUAAAGUGCUGCUAUAAUAGUAAUGUUAGGACUGAUAUUUCAAACCGUUUUUGUGGGUUUUCCAUUCAGUUUGUUUGACAUUUUAGAGCUCACCGUAGUAGCGUUAAGGUUACAAAUGACUUAUUGUCGGCCGCUGACUUGGAUGCAGAGUACCCUUCUACAUGGUGUAGGAACAUGGGUAGGCAUUAAAAUGAGAUCGUUUUCAUCAAUCACUGAGCUACAAAAGGUUAGAUGUGUUUAUUUAUUGUGGGUCGGUUCGGGUAUCAGACAGGCCUCCCUCUGCUGUCUUUUUAGCGUGUAUGAAAUGUUGCUGCGGUGGAGUCGUACGAUGGUAUUGCUCCACUGCUCGCCUACUGUCAUUGGUUCCCUGUUUGGUUUAUUAGUCCCUCGUAAUUGUGACAAACUUGUCAGGGUUUGGACGGUGUAGAAGAGAUUUAUGUGUUGGACUUUCACACUUAAAGAUAAAUUUGUCUGGUUUUGCUGUUCCCAGUUAUUAGUGAAAUAAAUAAAUUCAUGUGGCAGAUGAUUUAAUUAAUAUCUGUCAAAAAGGGUGUUUUAUUUCAUGUCAUAUUCUUUUUCCUUGCUGUGGAUUGAAUCCGGACCGACGAGAGCCGUGUGAUCUGCAUGCAUGCAUGUAUGUAUAUAUAUAUAUGAUGGUUGAGCCUGUGUGAGUGGCGGUGAAAGAACUAGUCUGUCUCUGUCUCUGUCUCUGUCUCUGUCUCUGUCUCUGUCUCUGUCUCUGUCUCUGUCUCUGUCUCUGUCUCUGUCUCUGUCUCUGUCUCUGUCUCUGUCUCUGUCUCUGUCUCUGUCUCUGUCUCUGUCUC